UACGUAGGGGGCAAGCGUUGUCCGGAAUUAUUGGGCGUAAAGAGCUCGUAGGCGGUCUGUCGCGUCGAAUGUGAAAACCCGGGGCUCAACUCCGGGCUUGCAUUCGAUACGGGCAGACUAGAGUUCGGUAGGGGAGACUGGAAUUCCUGGUGUAGCGGUGAAAUGCGCAGAUAUCAGGAGGAACGCCGGUGGCGAAGGCGGGUCUCUGGGCCUAUACUGACGCUGAGGAGCGAAAGCGUGGGGAGCAAACAGG
rnacentral:rRNA from 1 species